rnacentral:rRNA from 1 species
AAUAGAUACCCAGGUAGUCCACACCGUAAACGAUGAGUGCUAAGUGUUAGGGGGUUUCCGCCCCUUAGUGCUGCAGCUAACGCAUUAAGCACUCCGCCUGGGGAGUACGGUCGCAAGACUGAAACUCAAAGGAAUUGACGGGGGCCCGCACAAGCGGUGGAGCAUGUGGUUUAAUUCGAAGCAACGCGAAGAACCUUACCAGGUCUUGACAUCCCAUUGACCACUAUGGAGACAUAGUUUUCCCUUCGGGGACAACGGUGACAGGUGGUGCAUGGUUGUCGUCAGCUCGUGUCGUGAGAUGUUGGGUUAAGUCCCGCAACGAGCGCAACCCUUGUUCUUAGUUGCCAUCAUUUAGUUGGGCACUCUAAGGAGACUGCCGGUGACAAACCGGAGGAAGGUGGGGAUGACGUCAAAUCAUCAUGCCCCUUAUGACCUGGGCUACACACGUGCUACAAUGGACGGUACAAACGGUUGCCAACCCGCGAGGGGGAGCUAAUCCGAUAAAACCGUUCUCAGUUCGGAUUGUAGGCUGCAACUCGCCUACAUGAACG